GCCGUUAAACCUCAUAAAAGAAGAAGACCAGAAAAACCUUUGUUUAUUAUUUUCAAGAUGGCGGCGGGAAUGUAUUUAGAACAUUACCUUGACAGUAUAGAAAAUCUGCCGUUUGAGCUACAGAGGAAUUUCACUCUUAUGAGAGACCUGGACACACGGACAGAGGAUCUGAAAGGGCAGAUAGACUCUUUGGCUCGUGAGUACACAUCAAACACACACACCCUCUCCUCUGAGCAGAAGCUCUCCCUGCUCCGGCAGAUCCAGCAGUCAUAUGGCAAGUGUAAAGAGUUUGGMGAUGAUAAGGUCCAACUGGCCAUGCAGACCUAUGAGAUGGUGGACAAACACAUUCGCAGGCUGGACACAGACCUGGCCCGCUUCGAGGCAGACCUGAAGGAGAAAAAGAUUGAGAGCACAGACUAUGACUCAACCUCCAGUAAAGGAAUCAAGAGUGAGCUCAGGGGGCCAAAAGAGAAGAAGGUGGCUCGCACAAGGUUAAAGGUGAAGUCAGACGACGACUGCAGCCCCAAAAGCGGACAGAAGAAAGUCAAACUAACACAAGCGCCUGAGUUCACAGCCCCUACAGUGAACUUUGGGAACGUCCACCCCUCGGACGUGCUGGACAUGCCCGUGGACCCCAACGAGCCCACCUACUGCCUGUGUCACCAAGUGUCCUACGGAGAGAUGAUCGGCUGUGACAACACAGACAGAGAAGCAAUGACAUCACGUCCUGAGAUGACGGAAUUGAAAUGAACCCCAACCCUGAUUGGGUCAACUAUUCACUAUGAUCCAAAUCCUAACCUGAUAUCUGGGCACUAGAAUGUUCCUACAAAAAAUACCACAUUGACAUGAAUGYGUGAUUUUACCUAAAAGUCUGAUUUAUAAAAUAGUGUUUAGAAAUGAGCGAUGGCUUUGGAAUUUUUGGCACUUCAAUCAAAGAUGAAUUAAGUAAAAYCUAAAUAAAGACUAGUUCCUUUUGGCCCACUAGAGGGCAGUAAAGCAUUAUAAAAGUCUCUCCCGGCACUAAUGGAAUACUAAGCAGAAUGUAUUGUGUUGGACUCAUUGCAGUGCUCCAUUGAGUGGUUCCACUUCGCCUGCGUGGGGCUGACAACAAAACCCAGAGGAAAAUGGUACUGUCCAAGGUGUACUCAGGAGAGGAA